rnacentral:rRNA from 1 species
GACGAACGCUGGCGGCGUGCUUAACACAUGCAAGUCGAACGGGACUUGUCUCCUUUUUUUUGGGGGUGGGGUUGGUGGCGAACGGGUGAGUCAUACGUGACUAACCCGCCCCUCUCUUAUGGCUAAACGAAUGAAAGGGUGGCACCUGAGGGGUGCUCCUGCCUGAUUGUAUGGGUGGGUUUGGAAAGGUUCGACCGGAUUUGGUUGCGUUGGAUGGGGAUGGGCUUGCGGCAUUUCCGCUCGUUGGCGGGGUCGUGGCUGUGCCCGGCGUUGGCGGGUAGCCGGCCUUAGAGGGUGGGCGGUCACACUGGGACUGAGACACGGCCCAGACUCCUACGGGAGGCAGCAGUGGUGAGUAUUGCACAAGGGGCGCAAGCCGGAUGCAGCGACGCCGCGUGAGGGAGGGAGGCCGUCGGGUUGUGAACCGCUUUCGCCAGGGAAGAAGGUCCUGCUCGUUGUGGUGGGGUUGACGGUAGCUGGGUUAAUGAAGCGCCGGCUAACUACGUG